UACGUAGGGGGCAAGCGUUGUCCGGAUUUACUGGGCGUAAAGAGCGUGUAGGCGGUCGAUCAAGUCGAGUGUGAAAGCCCCCGGCUCAACUGGGGAGGGUCAUUCGAUACUGAUCGACUCGAAGGCAGGAGAGGGUAGUGGAAUUCCCGGUGUAGUGGUGAAAUGCGUAGAUAUCGGGAGGAACACCAGUGGCGAAGGCGACUACCUGGCCUGUUCUUGACGCUGAGGCGCGAAAGCUAGGGGAGCAAACGGG
rnacentral:rRNA from 1 species